CGUCCGACACUUUCACGCGGAAUAAUCCUCCGGGAUAGAUCUGGCCUUUUCCAGGUGUCGCGAAGAGAAGGCAUUUAGGGCUCGGACUAGCCUUUGAAUUUUAAAAUCACCGGUCGGAGCACCAAAGAGAUAGUGGACUUGGCGCGACAAAGUCCUCCUACGGGGAUUGUUCCCCUCGAUCGAGAGAUUUACAAGCAAAUCAAAAAUCGCAGCGGGAAGGAACAGCGCGAAGGAACAGUCGAGAGAACGCCUCGCUCGCGACGGUCUCCCCGGCUCUUCUCCGUAGUUAAGGAUCGAUCUCUCGGCGUCUCGCGUCGCGUCUUUAUUGUGUAUAUUCGCCCUAGACAGACUUCGUGCUCUCGUCGCGUUUACGUUUGCGCGGCACGUGGACUCUUGCUCGUCGUGGGAUUCUCCCUCUCUCCCUCGUCGCUCGACGGCGGGGUGGCGGCGAGCACGAACGAGGAACCAGAUAAUGAAGGAUGGACCGGCCGGCUGCCCGACACGGCCAGUGUUUGAGAAGCACUAGUCCGGUCCCUGCGGAGUGGUCGGUCUUCUACAAGGCUAUCCAGCGAACCCAGCGACGGGAGCGGGCCACUUCCCGAGGGAGUCCGCUCCAUCUAUCGCUACCUGGCCGAGUGCUUGAGAGCACACUUUUUUAAGCGGAAACCGGAAAAAGGGAGGGAGCGUGUUGUUGUUGAGAACAUUUUCUUUUUGCUGGCAGCACGAUGGCGAAGGGAAACUGCAAGUUCGAAAGGCUGUACGAGAUGGUAUUUGAUUCUGUACCUGGUUUCUGGAUACAGGCGAGCGUUACAUCGAAUAACCAACUUCGAAAUCGAUGCCUGAAUCGGUAGCCGUUUGGGCCGCACUAAAUGGUACUCCGUUCAUUUGUUACAGUUAUAUGCGUAUGUUACAGUUACACGUUGUUCAAAUAUGGACCAUGAUCCAAAUCCGAGCUACCAGUGUUUUGACUUUGCAUGCUACACUCUACCGAAAAGCAUUUGAGUAAUUCUUUUGUUAAGGUGUAACAAAGCUUGAGUGCACGGCUGUUUUUGAAUCGGCUUAGACAUUAUACAAGAUUUUCUGUUUUUCGGUAUCCGCAAGUUUGUACACAGAGACAUGUAUAUUUUAUUUUUUCUUCAGAAAUAUAUAUAUUUUUGAUGCAAUUGUUUAUGAGCUUAUGAGUAAAUAGUACAAGGAUAGAUGGAGAGAAUUUUUCUACAGUGAAAAUUUAUUUUUAUUAUUUGAUAUAAACUCCUCUUAAUUGGAUGCACUUUGUCCGACGACGUUGAUAUACUAACACAUGACAGAAUAUAACUUUGCAUAUUAAAUUUUAUUAGCGCCAUAUUUUUUCAAUACGAGUUUACAUCGCUUUUUCUCUGUCCAUGUACAUCGUGUUCGCCAAUAUAACCUCGUGACAUCCAUGAUGUGAUGUUGCGAAUAUCAUAGAUAGAUCUAACAUGAGUUAGUAAAUGACAGUGACAUGCUAUUUGGGAAGGGAAAAUUCGGAGGAAAUAAUGAUGUAAAAAGUCUAUUUUACAAUAAGAAAUUCUCUGAUGUUACAAAGGGAAAAUUGUGGGAAUAGUAUUUAAUAUGCGCUUUUCUUCGUGAGCACACAUGAGCAAUAUAUGUGAUUGUGCAGACACAAGAUGAUAUGAUGAUAUGAUGAUUAUAUAUGCGAUUUGCGUCGAUGAAUAUUAUGAGAAU